GUCCCUCAUGCUGUGUGGAUCUCCUGGUGUCUCCCUGUUGACAAAAUAUACAGUAUAUGUGCUAGCUGAGAUGGGAAUCUGAGUGAAAGACCAAGAGGCUACGAAGAGCAUCUAUCCUCUGCUUUGCAAAUGUCAAGGCUGUUGCAUGGCUUCGGGUCAGACGGGAUCUGCAGAAAUGAUGGGUUGCUGCUGCUGGAGUCUGGUUGGGUGUUGGCGCAGUCUCUAAAAUGUCAUGUGGUGCCAAAGGACAAGAUAUGAGGUUAAGUGGUCACCCAAGAGGUCUAACCACAGGAGGACAGUGCUUUAGAGGUUCAAGUCUCAAGAUUGCAUUAUGUGACAGUGUCCUCUCAUGAAGAGAACUUGAGAAGAAUCGGAGACAUAAAAGUAUAUGGGUCUAGGUAUACAGACCACCUUAAAAUCAGUAUACAAAAUGCAUAUACAUACAUUUUAUUUUAAUUAGGGGUGCCAACUGCAAAAAUGACUUGUGAAUUAAGCAAUAUAUAUCCCAGCAUGUUAUAUUCUAUUUAUUUUCCAUCUUAGUUCAAUUUCACCUUAUUUCUAACUCAUUUUGGUUCCAAUAAUUGUGCAUACAUAGUGUGACAUAUGCAUCUAUUAUACAUGCUUCUAGAUGAGGCAAGGCUCGUGUACAGUAAUGAAGUGGUGCCCUUUUUUAAACUGUAUUACUGUCUCUGAAAAUGAGAAUGUACCUGCUGAUAUAAGGUAAAGAUUAAAGGUAAGGCAGCUGUUAUGUUUGCUAAAAGAGAGACAGUACAGUAUCUGCAUGUGUGUGCAUGUGUCUGCAGUGCAUCGCGCAAGCGUAAGUGAGAGUGUUUAUGAGCGUGGGGCUGUAACUGAGGAACAGACAGUGAUUGCAGCAGGGCUCAGGGGGAUACUGAGAUGGAGAAGGGCUUACAGCAUUCCCAUUUAAUGCCUAUCUGACAGGACCUUCAUUUAGCCGGAGUGUUUUGCUCCCCUGUGGGUGCCAUGUGUAAGGUCAACACAGUCCCUUUUUACAUGAGUUGCCCUCUGUGUGCCUCUCUUUCCUGCCUCGAGUGGCUGGCAGACACACACAGCGAGCAUUACGAAUGACUGUUUCUGAAAAAGAACCUGAAUAAACAAAUACUAAAAUAUCUAGUUUUACUAAAAUUCAUCAUGCCUGUUAAAAGAUAUUAGAAGUGGGAAAAAAAAUGUAUGUUUGGAACCAUUACAAUACUAAGCCAUGAACCAUAGUCCAACAUUUUUUUAUUUGAAAAUCACGCUCAUGUACGUGACCUUGGGGUUCUUACAUGUUUGAGACAUGUGUGCGUAUCAAUUUUACGCUUUGCAGGCAAUUCAAUAACAGGCAUCACCUUGACAGUCAGGUCCCAUACGCCUAGUCUCGCUCUCCUUCAUGCUCUGCAUGUAAUGCGGUGGUUCAAUUUUGCACUAUUACGACAGAGAUUUUCAGAACAGAAGGAGACUUUCAGUUAGGAAGGAUACAUGAUGUUUUGUGUCAGGGUAACAUUUUGAAUUUAGGCAAUUAAAGUAUUAGGUAGCUAUAUGUUUAUCAUAUUAUUUUCUUUCCAGGAAAGUAGUGAUCUGUCUGCUUCAUGUAGUUGUCAUUGUUAGCACGGGGAGUCAAUGCAAGCUCUAUUAAAUUACUGUUAAUGAUAACUGAUUUCUCACUGCUAGAAUUUCACACUAAAAACAUUUGGCAUGAUAAAAAUGUGAAGAAUGGUCACACACGGGAUUUUUUUUUUUCGCUAACCUUAGUGAUGAAGAUCUUUCACAAAACAGGGUUUUAAAACUGUCUUCACUGCAUUUUUUUCUGUCACUUUUCUUUGGACAGAUAAUUAGUUUUAAAUAUUUGCAAGGGGUAAUGAAAAAGGAAGAGCUGCUGCCUCUGUUAGAUAAAGCGCAGCACACUCAAUCCCUCAAGAAAGAAGUAACUCCUCAAGUCACAUCAAGCAUGAAAUCAUGUACUUGUUACUAUGUUAAUUGUUUUUUGAAUAACUGCUUUAUUAAAAUUAUGUG